GCCUUGUUGGCUAAGUGGUAUAGCGUCUCACUAGUAUCCUAGUGUCAUGAGAAGAUCGGCGGUUCGAUUCCGCCACGAGGCA
rfam:Colletotrichum sublineola strain TX430BB Scaffolds1591.1, whole genome shotgun sequence.